UGGGGAAUAUUGCACAAUGGGCGCAAGCCUGAUGCAGCCAUGCCGCGUGUAUGAAGAAGGCCUUCGGGUUGUAAAGUACUUUUUGCGGGGAGGAAGGGAGUACAGUUAAUACCUUCGCCCAUUGACGUUACCCGCAGAAGAAGCACCGGCUAACUCCGUGCCAGCAGCCGCGGUAAUACGGCGGGUGCAAGCGUUAAUCGGAAUUAUUGGGCGUAAAGUGCACGCAGGCGGUUUGUUAAGUCAGAGGUGAAAUCCCCGGGCUCAACCUGGGAAGUGCAUCUGAUACUGGCAAGCUUGAGUAUCGUAGAGGGAGGUAGAAUUCCAGGUGUAGCGGUGAAAUGCGUAGAGAUCUGGAGGAAUACCGGUGGCGAAGGCGGCCCCCUGGGCGGAGACUGACGCUGAGGUGCGAAAGCGUGGGGAGCAAACAGG
rnacentral:rRNA from 1 species